CUUCUGUGAGUCUACACUUUCAUUAAGAAAAGAGAGUACCCACAAAGCAAGAUGACAACUUUGUUCAUGUUAAACUGUUGCAGUUCAGAUGUGCCACUCUCAGCCUCCCUUCAGCAGGAUGCAGUUAACAACCAUGCUGACAAGGAGCGUUGGAGUUGCGGGAAGUACUCUGCGGUGCAGCCUUGGAGCACACUGCUUCCUGCAGUGCAAGAGGCACACAGCCAGCAGGCAGAGAACUUUUUCUGCCUCAGUGUUUGAAACUUGGAGCAAAAUAACACACAAGGCUGAAAAAAAGGCAUUGGCAGCCCUAGCCACACGAAGAUCAGUCCUGUGCCUCUAUCACAUGGAGUGUUGAAGGCAAGUUGGUGUCCGCAGGCCUGAUGAUGGUGGGGCUGGGGGCUGCCACAUCCACACCUCCACAAGUUGCCUCAGGAUUGCUGCAGGAUGCUGCCAGCUUGGCCCUUCAGUUAAC
rnacentral:lncRNA from 1 species